AAAUCCCUGGGAUGUACGUGAUGUAUUUAAGGGCUUGAGCCAACACCUCUUAGAAGGGAGCUGGUCCCUGAUCGUGGUGUGCAAGCCUCCCCUGUAGGAGGAAGCCUAAAGCGAUUAACACUGGCUCCACUUAGUAGUAUGAUGCUUCUAAGCCCAAAAUGCACACGGCAUUCUGGGGAUUUU
rnacentral:other from 1 species